GAUGAACGCUGGCGGCGUGCCUAACACAUGCAAGUCGAGCGAAAAGACGAGGAGCUUGCUCCUCUGACGUUAGCGGCGGACGGGUGAGUAACACGUGGAUAACCUACUUAUAUGACUGGGAUAACUUCGGGAAACCAGAGCUAAUACUGGAUAAUAUAUUGAACCGCUUGGCUCAAUAGUGAAAGACGGUUUUGUUGGUUCGUUUAGACGGUUACGCGUCGCAUUAUCUAGUCGGUAAGGUAACGGCAUAACAAGGAGACGCUGCGUAGCAGACCUGAAAGGGUUGUCGGCCACCCUGGAACUGAGACACGGUCCACACUCCGACGGGAGGCAGCAGUAGGGAAUCUUCCGCAAUGGGGGAAAGCUUGACAGUGCAAAGCCGCGUGAGUGAUGAAGGUCUUCGGCUGGUAAAACUCUGUUGUUCGGGAAGAAAAAAAGUGUUAUUAACUAUGCACAUCUUGACGGUACCUAAUCAGUAAGCCACGGCUAACUACGUG
rnacentral:rRNA from 1 species